GACACGUCCAAAAAGAAGGAAAGGACACCUCGCCAAUCAGGGUACUAUGUGAGCAGAUGCCAGGACUUGGCGUAAACAUCUUGGAGACCUCAUCAAACCCACCAUCUCCAAGUCCACAUCAUCCACCUCCGCAAAGCUCUUGCCAAGCUGGUGGGUUUGUACCAACUGUAGGGAGAUGCCAACACAACAGGACAGGUCAUGCUGCAAACAAAGGCCGGAUGAAUACUUCUCAAACUUGGCAAUCUUGAGGCACCUUGUUCUGGACCACCAUUAGAGUUGGC